UUUUCUUCCAGUUGUUUUGUAGAACAGAGAAAAAGAGAGGAAUUUAAGAUUGACAGGUUUUUACGAAAUAAGGCACUAAGAAUGUACAUCAAUAAGAGAUUUAGGAUGUUGAACAUGAACUAUGAACUGGAACACACUGAACAACAACUAUUUGAAUUUUGGCCUUGUAGUUUUUGUUUUGGGGCUCU